UGUACUAAGUGGUGGACAGGCAGGCCCGGCGGCCUUUGUGGGGCCGACAGGGGGGUAUCUGGUCGGUUGGCUGUUAACACCGGCUUUGGUUUGG
rnacentral:tRNA from 1 species